CCGAUUCUUAGAUACCGAUAACAAAUAAACGGUAAUAUAAAUGUUUCCCCUUUUUUCACAGGAACCAUACGGCAUUGCACUGGCGGUGCAAAAAGAAAUUUUAAUAAAAAUGAAUAAAGUAAUGUCAGUUCCAAUUGUUCCCGGUAAAAAAAACUUAGAUCCUUUCCAAAAAGGAAUUAUUGCUGUCAACAAUGCGUUGAUGAUGCUUCUCGAAUAUGUCGAAAGGUUUAAUAUGUCAUAUUUAGUGACAAAUCGUCUAAACCAGGACGUACUAGAGCACUUUUUUGGUGCUUUACGCAGCAAAGGUGGUUUAAAUGACCACCCAUCUCCAAGAGAUUUUAAGAACAGGCUUCGAAAGUACAUCCUUGCGAGAAAUACGGAGCAUUUAAACGGAAAGGGAAAUUGAAAGAUGAUACCACAGAAUGGCUUAACAGUUCUAGUACGUGCUUUGAAAUUGUAGAAGGAGGAACGCAAGACUUUGAAGAGGAGCUGUCUGAAGAGAUUGCCCAAGAUUUUGAUGACCUUCAUGAAACGAAUGAAGACGAAAUUGGAAUUCUUCAAGAAGAUGCGCUAGAGUACAUAGCUGGCUAUAUUCUUAAAAAGCACAAUCUUGAAGAAUUUGAAUUUUGCGGAAGUUCGUUUUCAUGGAUUGAUCAAGUAUCGCAGGGAUCCUUGAAAAAGCCUAACGAAAGUUUCAUGACAGAACUGAAAAAGCUAGAAGCUAUUUUCUAUCGCAUUAAUGGUAAAGAAAUAUCCCACAGCAAAAAUUUAAAAAAGCUUCUUAUUGAUCAAAGCGAACACGUAAAUCUGCCGGAAAUAGUAAAAACCACUUUUCACAAAUGUAGAAUAUACUUCCGGGUACGCCAUUUAAAUAAGAGGCUUAGACAACAAAAAAUUUCUCAAAAGGCAAUGGGAUUUAAGAAAAUGAUUAAAAUAAAACUAUAAAUAUCGCUGUUAUUUUAAAAUUUUUGUGCAGUACACCUCUUAAUUAUUAAUAAUUAAAACAAAACCAGAAGCAACAAACCAACUCAUAACUCCAACCACUUAUAUAACAUUACCUGGAGCUAUUAAUAAUUGUUUACUUCGUAUGGGAGGUACAACGCCCAUUGUGCCUAUAUAGGACAAUUCUGAAUCUAACCCAUCCAGGAACCCACUCAAACACACACAAAAAAUUUCAUCGAAAUCUGCCCAGCCGUUAAGGAGGAGUUCAGUUACUAACACACGUACAGAAGAAUUAUAUAUAUAAAGAUAAAAAGAAGAUUAAAAAUACUACGUGAUUCUGAUGCCUUUGUAAUGUUUUGUUUUGUCAAUGUUUUUCUGGGCCUCUGAGUCUCAAUAAUUCUAUUCACUGCCAAGAAAUCUUUGAUAUUUAAGUAUAUUCAAUUAUUAUGUUGUUUAUAUGCUUUGUUGUUGUUUUUUUUUAUUUUUUAUUGAUCAUUAGUUUUAGUUUACCUCUUUUAUUGUAUGAAAUAUUUAAAUUAAUUUAUUUCUUUUGUUUUAAUGACUAUACUUGAUCUCAUUGUGUACCUAAUACCUAAUAAGUUUUUAUUGAAAUUAAUAAAUAAAUAAUUUAACAUAUGAAUUCUGA